rnacentral:rRNA from 1 species
AUACGGAGGAUCCGAGCGUUAUCCGGAUUUAUUGGGUUUAAAGGGAGCGCAGGCGGAGAUGCAAGCGUGACGUCAAAUUUCGGGGCUCAACCCCGUCUCGCGUCGCGAACUGCGUCCCUUGGUUGCGGGAAGGGGAGGCGGAACUCGUGGUGUAGCGGUGAAAUGCAUAGAUAUCACGAAGAACUCCGAUCGCGAAGGCAGCCUUCCGGCCCGUCAACGACGCUCAUGCUCGAAGGUGCGGGUAUCAAACAGGAUUAGAUACCCUGGUAGUCCGCACAGUAAACGAUGGACACCCGCGGUUUGGCCUGUAUGGCUGAGCCGCCAAGCGAAAGCGUUAAGUGUCCCACCUGGGGAGUACGCCGGCAACGGUGAAACUCAAAUGAAUUGGCGGGG